GCCAAAUUGGGAAGCUCAGUUGGUAGAACAUGAGACUCUUAACGUCUGGGCCACGGGUUCGAGCCCCAUGUUGGGCA